GAUGAACGCUGGCGGCGUGCCUAAUACAUGCAAGUCGAGCGAACGGACGAGAAGCUUGCUUCUCUGAUGUUAGCGGCGGACGGGUGAGUAACACGUGGAUAACCUACCUAUAAGACUGGGAUAACUUCGGGAAACCGGAGCUAAUACCGGAUAAUAUUUUGAACCGCAUGGUUCAAAAGUGAAAGACGGUCUUGCUGUCACUUAUAGAUGGAUCCGCGCUGCAUUAGCUAGUUGGUAAGGUAAUGGCUUACCAAGGCAACGAUGCAUAGCCGACCUGAGAGGGUGAUCGGCCACACUGGAACUGAGACACGGUCCAGACUCCUACGGGAGGCAGCAGUAGGGAAUCUUCCGCAAUGGGCGAAAGCCUGACGGAGCAACGCCGCGUGAGUGAUGAAGGUCUUCGGAUCGUAAAACUCUGUUAUUAGGGAAGAACAUAUGUGUAAGUAACUGUGCACAUCUUGACGGUACCUAAUCAGAAAGCCACGGCUAACUACGUGCCAGCAGCCGCGGUAAUACGUAGGUGGCAAGCGUUAUCCGGAAUUAUUGGGCGUAAAGCGCGCGUAGGCGGUUUUUUAAGUCUGAUGUGAAAGCCCACGGCUCAACCGUGGAGGGUCAUUGGAAACUGGAAAACUUGAGUGCAGAAGAGGAAAGUGGAAUUCCAUGUGUAGCGGUGAAAUGCGCAGAGAUAUGGAGGAACACCAGUGGCGAAGGCGACUUUCUGGUCUGUAACUGACGCUGAUGUGCGAAAGCGUGGGGAUCAAACAGGAUUAGAUACCCUGGUAGUCCACGCCGUAAACGAUGAGUGCUAAGUGUUAGGGGGUUUCCGCCCCUUAGUGCUGCAGCUAACGCAUUAAGCACUCCGCCUGGGGAGUACGACCGCAAGGUUGAAACUCAAAGGAAUUGACGGGGACCCGCACAAGCGGUGGAGCAUGUGGUUUAAUUCGAAGCAACGCGAAGAACCUUACCAAAUCUUGACAUCCUUUGACAACUCUAGAGAUAGAGCUUUCCCCUUCGGGGGACAAAGUGACAGGUGGUGCAUGGUUGUCGUCAGCUCGUGUCGUGAGAUGUUGGGUUAAGUCCCGCAACGAGCGCAACCCUUAAGCUUAGUUGCCAUCAUUAAGUUGGGCACUCUAAGUUGACUGCCGGUGACAAACCGGAGGAAGGUGGGGAUGACGUCAAAUCAUCAUGCCCCUUAUGAUUUGGGCUACACACGUGCUACAAUGGACAAUACAAAGGGCAGCGAAACCGCGAGGUCAAGCAAAUCCCAUAAAGUUGUUCUCAGUUCGGAUUGUAGUCUGCAACUCGACUACAUGAAGCUGGAAUCGCUAGUAAUCGUAGAUCAGCAUGCUACGGUGAAUACGUUCCCGGGUCU
rnacentral:rRNA from 1 species